GCUUCACAGGUAGUCGGUUAUCACGUCGGUCUCAUACUCUGUGUGAACAUUCUAUGAAUGUGUAAUCCGAAGGCCGCGAGUUCGAUUCUCGCAGGAGACA